GACGAAGGAUGCAAGCGUUAUCCGGAUUCAUUGGGUUUAAAGGGAGCGUAGGUGGUCUUAUAAGUCAGUGGUGAGAUCUCUGGGCUUAACCCAGAAAUUGCCAUUGAUACUGUAGGACUUGAGUAUAGUUGCCGUUGGCGGAAUAUGACAUGUAGUGGUGAAAUACAUAGAGAUGUCAUAGAACACCGAUUGCGAAGGCAGCUAACGAAACUAUAACUGACACUGAGGCUCGAAAGUGUGGGGAUCAAACAGG
rnacentral:rRNA from 1 species